rnacentral:tRNA from 1 species
UGCCGCGUAGCUCAAUGGUAGAGCGUCGAUCUUCUAGUAUCUGUCCUUGGGGCAGAGAUUCCCCUAGCCAGGCGAAAGUCUGUGAAACCACCCCUUUACGGGAUGAGCUAGGAGCUUAAUCGAAGAUCGCAGGUUCGAACCCUGCCCCAGCUG